GCUAGCUACUAUGAAUGUUUCUAAGAAUGCUAAAUGAUGAUAAAUUUUGUUGUUCCGGAUGACGACUGAUGAUUUAUUGAGAUACUUUAAGAAGGCAAAAGAGAGAGAAAGAGAUGAGAGACCGGCAUUAGCAAACGAUUCAGGGGAGACUGAGGGAAAAUGGAGUCGAUGAGACGAAGCGUAGAGUGGAUUCAUCAGAGCCUUUUCCUCUUAAAGAGCUGUCUGCUGGAGCGGGAAGUGAGGAUGAUAAGAGUGAUCUGUGAGCUGAAUGUAUCCUCACACCCUUGAUGCACUCAAAAGCACAUGGACACGAGCAUGAAUGGAUACUCACAGCUUGCACCCUGCUGGCUAACAGAGAGAUGGGUGAAUACUAGAGAUGGAGUGGAGCAGCUUUGCUGCUUUGGGAGCACAUCCAUCUGCUUAGUCCCAUUGAGCUUUAUGGCAGUAGCCCCAGAGCUGCCUGAGAUGGGCCUCACCCCCUGGCCUGCAGCCGGUGUCUGGCUGGUUGGCACCUGCGGAGCACACACAUGCUGUUAUGCGUCAGCAAUAGCUUACCAGUUUCUUUUUCCCCUGCCACUCUGUGUUUAUGAUUAUUUAUGCCUGUGUUAACAGAUCCAGACAUGCUGACACUGUUAAGGUUAACAAACAGAUAACCGAAACAAAUGAAAGAGCAGUUUUCCUCUGUUUUGGCCCAGUUAUGCAGCUAUGCCAGACAGACAGUACGUGUGGGUGGAGGAGCAGUUACACACACACGAUAUGCUGCAGAUUUAUUAUUGUAUCUUAUCGAAGGCACAGAUCCUCCUGUAUCAAAUCCUUGGCAUAGAGAAUUAAAAACCUUGUUGACAUAA